rnacentral:rRNA from 1 species
AUUGAACGCUGGCGGCAGGCCUAACACAUGCAAGUCGAGCGGAUGAAGGGAGCUUGCUCCUGGAUUCAGCGGCGGACGGGUGAGUAAUGCCUAGGAAUCUGCCUGGUAGUGGGGGAUAACGUCCGGAAACGGGCGCUAAUACCGCAUACGUCCUGAGGGAGAAAGUAGGGGAUCUUCGGACCUCACGCUAUCAGAUGAGCCUAGGUCGGAUUAGCUAGUUGGUGGGGUAAAGGCCUACUAAGGCGACGAUCCGUAACUGGUCUGAGAGGAUGAUCAGUCACACUGGAACUGAGACACGGUCCAGACUCCUACGGGAGGCAGCAGUGGGGAAUAUUGGACAAUGGGCGAAAGCCUGAUCCAGCCAUGCCGCGUGUGUGAAGAAGGUCUUCGGAUUGUAAAGCGCUUUAAGUUGGGAGGAAGGGCAGUAAGUUAAUACCUUGCUGUUUUGACGUUACCAACAGAAUAAGCACCGGCUAACUUCGUG